rnacentral:rRNA from 1 species
UACGAAGGGGGCUAGCGUUGUUCUGAUUUACUGGGCGUAAAGCGCACGUAGGCGGAUCGAUCAGUCAGGGGUGAAAUCCCAGAGCUCAACUCUGGAACUGCCUUUGAUACUGUCGAUCUGGAGUCCGGGAGAGGUGAGUGGAACUGCGAGUGUAGAGGUGAAAUUCGUAGAUAUUCGCAAGAACACCAGUGGCGAAGGCGGCUCACUGGCCCGGUACUGACGCUGAGAUGCGAAAGCGUGGGGAGCAAACAGG